AGGACGAACGCUGGCGGCGUGCCUAACACAUGCAAGUUGAGCGACGAACCAGGGCUUGCCCUGGGGCAAAGCAGCGAACGGGUGAGUAACACGUGGGUAACCUGCCCCGAUGAUUGGGACAACCCGAGGAAACUCGGGCUAAUACCGAAUGUGCUCGCCGGACGUAAGUCCGGCGCGUAAAGGAAGCUUCGGCCUCCGCUUCGGGAGGGGCCCGCGGCCCAUUAGCUAGUUGGUGAGGUAACGGCUCACCAAGGCUUCGAUGGGUAGCUGGUCUGAGAGGACGAUCAGCCACACUGGGACUGAGACACGGCCCAGACUCCUACGGGAGCAGCAGUGGGAAUCUUGCGCAAUGCGCGAAAGCGUGACGCAGCAACGCCGCGUGGGGAAGAAGGCCUUCGGGUGUAAACCCUUUCGACGGAGGACGAAGGUUCGGACGGUGAAGUAGCCGUACCGAACGUGACGGUACC
rnacentral:rRNA from 1 species